UCAAAUCGGACUUCUCUAUUCGGUUACGUGAUUAUUAGGGGCAGCGGCUUCGCUGUCUGGUGAACUGUCACUAGCAAGAAGUUCCUUAGUAGUCAUGUGACCUCAUGACCGAAUGCAAUUUCUUC
rnacentral:pre_miRNA from 1 species